rnacentral:sRNA from 12 species
UACUAUAAAGGGGAGUAUUACCCUUUAUAGUAGCAAUGUAUCGUGUAGCA